rnacentral:tRNA from 1 species
GCUUCCAGGUUAGGAUCAUCGCCUUCCAAGCGAUGGGUCGGGGUUCAAUUCCCCGGACAAGCA